UGGGGAAUAUUGCGCAAUGGGCGAAAGCCUGACGCAGCGACGCCGCGUGUGUGAUGAAGGCCUUCGGGUUGUAAAGCACUGUGGGGGGAGAAGAAUUAGUAGGGGUUAAUGCCCCCUAUGAUGACGGUAUCCCCUUAGCAAGCACCGGCUAACUCUGUGCCAGCAGCCGCGGUAAGACAGAGGGUGCAAACGUUGUUCGGAAUUACUGGGCGUAAAGCGUGUGUAGGCGGCUAAGUAAGUCGGAUGUGAAAGCCCUGGGCUCAACCCAGGAAGUGCACCCGAUACUGCCUAGCUUGAGACUCGGAGAGGUUGGUGGAAUUCUCGGUGUAGAGGUGAAAUUCGUAGAUAUCGAGAGGAACAUCGGUGGCGAAGGCGGCCAACUGGACGAAGUCUGACGCUGAGACACGAAAGCGUGGGGAGCAAACAGGAUUAGAUACCCCGGUAGUCC
rnacentral:rRNA from 1 species